rnacentral:rRNA from 1 species
CCUUACGGGAGGCAGCAGUGGGGAAUCUUGGACAAGGCAGGCAAGCCGAAUCCAGCCAACCGCGUGCAGGAAGAAGCCCUUCUGGUGGUAAACUGAUUUAGUAGGGAAGGAAAAAAACAGAGUAAUACCGGGAUGAUGACGUACCGCAGAUAGACC